AGGAGUGGGCGCAUGAUCGCGCUGGCGCAGGUCGCCGGUGAGGAAAGUCCGGACUCCGCAGGGCAGGAUGGUUCGUAACGCGAACCGGGGGCGACCCCGGGAAAGUGCCACAGAAAACAGACCGCCCCGGUUUUCCGGGGUAAGGGUGAAACGGCGAGGUAAGAGCUCACCGCUUUCAUGGUGACAUGAAAGGCACGGCAAACCCCAUCCGGAGUAAGACCAAAUAGGAAAGCGUUUGAGGGCUGCCCGCCCGAGGCUUUCGGGUAGGUUGCAAGAGGUGCCGGGUGACCGGCAUCCCAGAUAAAUGAUCAUGGCCCCGCAAGGGGUACAGAAUUCGGCUUAUAGCCCACUCCUUUUU
rnacentral:RNase_P_RNA from 1 species